UCCCAUGUGAUGUAGUGGUUAGGAUUCCUGGCUCUCACUCAGGCGGCCCGAGUUCAAUUGCCGGCAUGGAAG